UGCAGGAGCUGGCUUGCCUGCGAUGGCAUCGCCUCGGUGUGCCAGAUACACCGCGGGGCUCGCAUCGCAGGCAAGCCAGCUCCCACA
rnacentral:misc_RNA from 1 species